rnacentral:tRNA from 1 species
UCCCUGGUGGCUCAGAGGUUAAAGCGUCUGCCUCCAAUGCGGGAGACCUGGGUUCAAUCCCUAGGUCGGGAA